CCCCAGAAUCAGAGUGAUGGAUAACACAUGUACAAAUGUAUACACAUCAUCUGCUCCUGCACAUAGAUGCCCGGAGUGCACGUGUGCACGUGCUGCUGACGCGUCUACUCCUGUUGUGUCCCACUCAGGCCUUUGGGACACAGGGUCUGUCAGUCAUUGUCCAGGCCUUUGCCUUGGUCCUGGUUAAAGAGAUCUGGGAAAUACAAAGGAGCUAAAGGCUCUGACAAGUCCUGCAGGAAAUAGCCCCUUUAAUUUUCUUUAGUUGGUUUAUCUCAAACUCUUUCCACCAGAUGGUCCCUACCCCCAGGGCAUGUGUUGAGACGCAAGCUUAACCUAUACUGAGGGAAUUUAGGCUCCCUCCCAGUGUUUCCUUCUCUACUCCCUGCCUCUGAGGCCAUAAGCCAGUCCCUCCUCUGUGAGCCUCAGUUUCCUCACCUGAACAUGGGAAUAAUCAUCCCGCCUUGUAUUAGCUCUUGGAAAGUUUUGGGGAGCCCAGGAAAGUGAGCAUUUUGAAAAUGGUUGAACGUGAAUCACAUGCUACCUUUCUUUACCUUUUUCAUACCUUCAUUCCCUGAGUCAGAAUACUCAGGAGUGGGCCAACCUGGGCCUCAGCACUGAGGACAGCACUCUUUGGAGGAGGAGCUCUUCUUUUGGAAUUACCCAGCCCCCUCUCACUCCCCCUCCCAACAGUGGCAACACGGGCCUGACCCUGACAUCAUCAUGGAGCCCAGGAAAUGUAUUGUGACCUUGUCUGUCCUUAUAUCCCUGCCUCUCCUUCACCAUGGUACCACCAGCCUAAAUGUCACCACUGGAUCCACGAGUGGGAGGAAUGAGCCAUCCCUGUCAUCUCCACCCCUGUCAUUUCUCAGCCCCACAGCCCCUAUAGAAGUAACAGAAUGGGGAAUGGUGAGGGGAUGCUGCCUUUGCAUAUGUACAGCUUCUUUCAAGAAUUGGCCAGUGUGUCACCCUGAACAACCUGCUUCCCCUUCCCCCAGUAGGGUAUGGUGCCCCUGUGAUGUUCAUAAAUGCUGAGUUCUCUUCUGAGCUAAGUAAGCCCCGAUGAGCCAGACCAGGGAGCCUCGCUGGACAGGGCUGGGGACCCUGCCCCCCUCACCUCCUAGAAGCCCUCCUAGGCCUGCUAAAGACCAGCGUUUGCCAAUGCCCUCCCCCUGACUCUCUGCGGAGCACCUGCGGUUAGAGAGCUCGGAGACGCGGACCAGAGAAGGUCUCAGCAGCUGCCUGGGAUCGAUGCAUGAAGAGAUUCCAGGGCGGUGGUGGAGGAAGGGCCCAAUCCCUGAGAUGACCCAGCGGAGGAAAAACCCGGUCGUCACCAGUUUGCCAAGACUACAAGUCCCAGGAGUCCGAGCGGCAGGCCUUUCCAUUCUUCCCAGAACCACGUUUCCCAGCAGCCAUCGGGAACCUCAUGGAAGUCCUCUCGAAAAAUCCCGCCCCCUUCUCCCAAGUGACAGCAGGGAGAGAGGGAAGGCGGCGCCCCCAAUCUGGCCUGGUUUGAGAUGUUCCUAGCCGUGGGAGACAGACAUACUGUCAUCAAACGUCGGAAAAUAGCUGUCAUGAGACUCCUCACCCCCUGACACUUGACACCUUUCCCUUCCCAGCACCUGAAGCCCUCCUUCCUCAGCGGCAACAAAACCGUAGUUUCUGUUCCUGUUGACUGAGCACAGAAUGCUUCCUAAUCCUCACGCACCCCUGCUGGGGUAGAGAGACUGAACUGCUCAGGGUCCCAGUCAGGGUCAGGAUGUCAGGGUCCGGGUUCAAACUCAGCACUGUGGCGGGAGUCCAGAGGCCAUGCCCUUCCCAACACACACGACCAGCUGUGCUAUGGAUCUCCUGGUUCCCAUUCUUGUCCCUGCAGAAUCAAAUGAAGAAGGGGGGCAAGGUGACAGCCCUACCCCUUUGUCUGUUUCAUUCGCUUCUGUGUCCCUCGCUCCUGAGAUGCGGUCUAUCAUGAAUGAUGCGCCGCCCCACCCUCUGGGUCUUGUGCUGACCCAGACCUUGCCCAGUGUAAUGAAUUAUUCAUUUCUUUGAAAAUGGGGACUUCCCAUGUGCCUCCUCCAGUGGUGGGUGAUGCUGGGGACCCCAGAGGAGUCAUCCCAGGACUCUGAUCUGAAAGAGGCUGCAGGCUGGCCACAGAGAUGGAUAUGGUCAGUGAGCUAUCAAAUUGGUUAUGGCUGUGACAAAGCAGGGACCAGGUGUAAGGGGUAGAGGGGGUGGGCUUGAGAGAUGGAGUUGAAGGCUUUGAUGGGGUCUGUUGGAAGGCCAGGCUGAGGGGCACCGGGGAGCCAUGGGAGGUGUGUGAGCAGAGAAGGGUUAGAGUCAACCCUGAAUGUAGAGGAGUCCCUCUGGGGUCCCCUGGGGGACAGAAAGAGGCCAGGAGAAAGUGAGCAUGAGGGUCCUGGGGAAGAGGAGAAGGCCUGAGUGGGGGCCAGGCCACAGAGAUAGAGAAGAAAGUAUGAAGGAGGGAGGGGCUAGUAGUGGGCUCUAAUCCAGGACACCCUCCCUUGCCUUAUCUCCUUCCAAUCUGGCAGAGCAUGGGACACUAACCUCUCCAUUUCCCACAGCCUGCCACACCCUCCAGGCCUCCCCUGCCGCCAUCCUGGGUCCAGACCCCCUCUUCCGGCAGCCUGCCCUCAACUCUGUACUCCUGUCCUCAGAGGCAAACUUACUGACUUUCAAACUGUGUGACCUUCAGAGCACCUCCAUUUGCUGGUCUAUGAAAUGGGUGUAUUCAUUUCUAAUGGCUGCUGUAACCAAUAUCUAUAAACUUAAAGGCUUAAAACCACAUGAAUCUAUCCUGCACUUCUGGGGGCCCUAAAUUGGGGUGGGUCACUGGGUUCAAGAGGAGAGUCCAUUUCCUUUCCUUCUCUAGUUUCUGAAAUUGCCCUGUUUUGUGGCUCGUGGACCUUGGUCCAUCUUCAGAACCAGCAGGAUUGGUCUCUGGGUCCCUCGCUCUUCUGCCUCCCUCUCCUACUUCCUAGUGACUAUAUGCCCCCCCCAAGAUAAUCCAGGAUCCUCUCCCCAUUUUGACAAAUAGGCUUAAUUUCAUCUGUGGCUUUACUACCCUGCUGCUUCUGCUGGGGCUGGUGGGGAUAGGGGAUCCCAGGCCAGACAUGGUGGAAGUGUGGGUGCUGCUCAGACCACUGGAGCUCACCAUGGGUGGGGCAGGGGAGGGUGAGUAGUGGGUGCUUCAACCCUAUGCGUUACACACCUGGGGACCAGGCCUCCAGGCUAUGCCAGACCCUUGGCAGAACCGAGGGAGAGUGUCUGAGAAGGACAUGGGUGAGAGGUCCAGUCAUCCUGGGAGGACCUGAAGGGAAAUUCCUGGGGGUUGGAGACAGUAUGGGGGAAGGCGGAGGGUAGGGGAGGUCCUAUCUCCUCCAAGCCUGGAAAAUAUGGGGUGUGCAUGUUCAGCAAGAGAUGGAUAUAGGAGAAUGGGGAGGCAGAGAGAGAGAGAGGAGGAGAGAGAGGGACAGAGAUGCAGAGAGGACAGGGAGGAGGGAGACAGAGACCGGGUGGAGGGAGACACAGAAGACCCUGAGAAAGUGGGACAGAGACCCUGAGAGAGGGAUAGACACGCUGGUGGGGGGCGGAGAUGAUGCAGAAGCCCUGAGAAAUGAGGUGAAAUGGAAGAAGAGGUGGAGGGGAGGGGAUGCGUGCAGGUGCAAACGUGAUGAGACUGCGUAGACAUGGGCGUCAGAUGGCAGCCAAAGUAGGGAGGGGAGGUGAGAGGCAGGUCAGGCUGCCAGGAGGGAUCAAGUGGAAGAGGAGACAGAAAAAGAUAUGGAGACAAAGACCCAGUGAGAGACAGGAACACGAAGAGCUCCAGCGAAAGACCGAAAUAGCACCAGCCUCAACCUGAAGAAGAGCGCUCGGGGGAGACAGACGGACAGGGAGACAGACCACGGGCUGUGGGCUUGCAUGUAAAGGCAGGACUGUGGACAUGGCUGAGGAAUUUAGAAUGAGUGUGACCCCCCACAAGCCUGAUUAUCCCAGGACUGAGCGCUUCCUGUGAUCCAGGGCUCUGGGAGCUCAAACUGGAAAGUUCGAUGCAGCCCAGGACGCCUUGGUCCCCCAGAUGGAACAGAGCAACACUGGGACAGCGCUGGGCCACCAGCUUCUCUGGCUCAGCACUGCAUUGGCUAUCAUCAUGCCUGUCUUCUCUCACUGCCCUGGGAAAUGGGCCUCCCCAUCGCCCUUCCGGUGCCCUGCUCUGGGAACAAACUACUUUGUCUUUCUCUUGUUUUCAAACUCCCAAAUAUUGCUAAA